AGACUUUUAUGCAAGAAAAUCAGUCCUGCACAUUUGAUGUACUGCUUUAAAACUUAAAGACCUCUUGGGACCUGACAUUGUAAGCAGGAGGAAGUUUGCAGACCAGGGAUUGAACCCGAGACAUAGCAGUGACAAUGUGGAGUCCUUAACUGGUAUCUCUCCUCUACAGGGCUAAGAGGAGUCCCAGGCUUGAUAACACGCUGAACAAAGACCUGUCAUGGAACAGACUCUUGCUGAGAUUUAAACUGGAGAGUUUGUGGAUGUGGAGCUGGGCCAGGAUACACAGAGAAAUGUGGGGGAAGAGGGAAGUCACUGAGAAGAAUCAAGAGAUCUUGGUGCUGCUUUCAUUUGCUGUGUGAUGCUGAUCAAGCAACAUAUUGUCUUUAGGAAUCCUGUUAUAAAAUUUGUCCAACAGAACCUACCUCGCAGAAUUACAGAGAAGAAAAAGAAGAGAGUUCUAUAAACCUGAAGAGCGAUCUUUUCAAAAAAUCAUCAGAAGGAAGGAAUUUGUAGAAAUAAAACUGGAAACAUCCAGAAUCUUGAUGGUGUGCCAAACCAAAUGUCAACUGGAGCUCGACCAAAAACUAAAGUGCUCUCCAACAAACGAAGCAAAGAGAGAGCAGGUAAGUCUUUCUGAUGAAGUCUGUUUUACUGUUUGUUUAUAAAAGUUGUUUGAAGAGCCUUGCCUAGUCACUGUGGGUUUAAGCACAACACAAAUCUUGCUGAAAAAAAUGAUAGUCAUAGUAUAAUGUUAAAUCAAAGUAUAUCCUUAUCUUGAGACUGGUCAGUUCACUUAGUUUUCUCCUUGUUCUCAUGCAGCCAUACCGUGGGUUAAUUCCCGUUUUGUAUAGUUAGUUCCAUACAGAAAGACAUUUUCUUUGCAGAACCAGACCUGUUGUGAUCAUUUUGCUCCAUAUAUAAAUAUCAAAUCAUUAUGUUACACACAUGAAACUACUAUACUGUGAUAUAUGAACCAUAUCUCAAAAAUUUUAAUGAAAUAAAAAAAGACAUUCCUUUGCAUAACCAGACUUUACCUUGAAAUAUAUGUUAUAAAGUAGUAACCAAAUAAAAGAUUACACCUGUACCAAAACAACUGUUCAGUAGGUGAGUCCUCUUGACAAUAAAAAACGGUAGCAAUGUGUAUUUGUAAUUACACAAAUUUCUGUAUUUGGAAAUACUCUGCAUAAAUGAAAAUGUUUUGCAUCUUAAUUUUUGAAUUUUUUAUGUCAAUAACUACAAAAAAAUUUCCCUGAACCCCUACUUCUUACCAACAGUUUAUGAGUUGUUGUUUUAUUCCAGUAGUUAUUUAUUUGAACUGUCAUUGUGGACACAUCAUUCUGAAUCUCCUCAUUUGUCCUUGCUUCAUAUGGUCAUUGAAAUGCUUCUUAUACAAGGAGGGAAAUCACUUCAGAAACUGUGUGUGAUUCCACUAUGCACAGUCUUCACAUGUUGAAGACAAUGUGUUCCUGGAAAAGUUCAAUGAAAAUAUUAAAACUUCUUUUCUCUGAAUUAAUAUCUUUAAAGCCUUUUUUGAAGUAAUCUUGUCAAAUAAUGCCACAAAAAGUAAUACUGUAAUGCUGUUCCUGUCUUCAUUGGUAACUAUAUUGUUUUCGUUUUUGAAGCCCUCUUUUUCUUUAAUCUGCGGGCGAACACUUUUAGAUCCUUGUUCAGAAACUCAAGAUCUCGGCUUCAGUUCAAAUUAUCACCAGCAUUAGGUCUCUGGGAUACAGACAACUGCUGUUCUAUUUCUCGGGGAGAUUCGUAAGGAGACUUUUACCCUGGAUCACCAGGCAAAGUGAGCAGCUGGAACUGCCUCAUAAACAUGUCUUUGGGAGUGUGCUGGACCCACCAGCUGUACCAAAAUCACCAAACAGAAACUUCCGAAAUGUUUGUAGCAUCGAGCAUGGACAACUUUGUCCAUAUCCACUUUUAUAUUUGAUAGUUUAACAGUAUAUAACCAUCAACCACCUGACACCUAAGUGAAAAAUAAGCAUAGCUCUCUUUAAAAAUCAUAUGAAAGUGUCCUAAUUAUAAAUUGUGCCAUAAGUAGAACCCUCUUUGCUUCAUCCCUCUUGUUGAAAUUCAAACCAGAGCUCAAGGAGUUGAUCUUGCAUUUACGUCAGCGGCAAAGACUAUGCUUCACUGUUUGCUCCAGAAAUGACCAAAUGAGGGAUUUACACAAAUAAGCAUCAUGUGAAGGUUUUAAUUAGAAUGUGACAGAUUUAUUUUCUUUUUAUCAUAAGCAAAUCCAACUUGUUAUAGUUAAAGGAUAUUUUCCAUCAUAUGAAAGCUACCAUCAAGAGAGCAAAUAAGAAACAACUGCUGUUAACUCCUGGCAGAAUUGACAAGUACUUUUUUCACAAAUCUCCCAUGAGGAAAUUCUGCUUUGAUGGCUCUGAUCCAGUGUAAAAGUAUCAGAUUGGAUGUGGAGCUUAUCUGCAGGUAUUCAGGUAUCAUGCAGUGGGGGUUCAGUCUACCAGAGACUCAAUUUUUAGCUGCUUAUCUACUCUGCCAGCUAGUGUUUCAUCUUGACAGAAAAAGAAAUGAAUAGGCAAGCAGGCCAGCAGAAACUAGAAAAGAGUCAAAUCAAUUUUCACAUAAAUAUUUAUGGAAAACACUCUGGGAGUAGGAAAUAUCGGUGAAGGAUGUCUGAGAACAAUUUUUCUGCACAUGUAAAUCAGACGAGAAUUUUUGAAGCCUAAUUCAAAUUUCCAUGCAAAUGUAAAACAGUCCAUAAGGUUGGGUUUUUCAAUCACAACUUUCCUCUCUCUCUCUCUCUUUAAAAUCUCGUAUUUCAAAUUAAGUUAUUUUCACAAUUUAAAUUUUUCAUGGUCAUUCCUUCCCGUUGUUUGUAAAAUGUGACGUUAGCUCCCUCAUUUUUGGCUUCUCAUCGUUGCUUCUUGACUGGAGUGUUUAAGAGCUUCUCUCUCUAUGUUUGACCAAAGAUGUAAUAAGAAGGUCAGACAGAAGAAGCUCCUCGAUAUUUAGGGAUGUAAAGUGUAACCUGACGUAGAAAAAGGAUGUACUAUGACCCACUCUCAUUGUUUGCCCUUGUAAGGUGAUUCCUGAGGAUUCUUGUGUGUUAUAAUGGCCUCUGACCCACAUUUUCCUCUGGCUUCAGUCCCUGGAGAGGGAUAAGUAGGGAACCCGACAGCAGUCUCGAGCAGAAAAGCCGAGGCCCAGUGAGGUGGUCCAUAGGCCAGUCGAUGUUGUUACUUAACUACUAGAUUAAGAGAAGAUGACACUCAGUGAUUCUCUCUUUAAAAGAGUUUAAAUUGUCUGCCAGGACCAAUAUAUUUCAGCUUAAUGGUAUAAAAAACAUCAUUUGUAUGGUAGCAGCAGGGAGGGAGUGGGGUGGAUUGGGAGCUUGGGGUUAAUAGAUGCAAACUAUUGCCUUUGGAAUGGAUUAGCAAUGAGAUCCUGCUGUGUAGCCCUGGAAACUAUAUCUAGUCACUUAUGAUGGAGCAUGAUAAUGUGAGAAAAUAGAAUGUGUACAUGUAUGUGUAACUGCGUCACCAUGCUGUACAGUAGGAAGAAAAAGUUGUUUUGGGAAAUAAUUAAAAAAAAA
rnacentral:lncRNA from 9 species